UUUGACGUUACAUAAAUACAAAGGCUUCUGUAGUAUAAAUUGUGAAAUAAGUCGCACGUCAGUGACAAUAUAUAACCAGAUUAGGUAACAUUUUAUUGUUUUUUUUAAGACGAACAUUGUGAUCUCUCAUUUUUCUUUUUUUUUUGCACCACACGUGCCUUAGAUGAUAGCAUUCUCACCUCUGAGUCAGCAGGUAAAAGGACCUACCGCAGAGGCAUGAGAACAAAAUUCCAGACUAAACAAACAAUGGCAUUCUGUGUCACUGGAAGGUCAGGUAAGAUCUUAAACCAAGACCCCAUCUACAUUCUCAGGCGUGACAGUACUGUUUGAGGAGGAGAAGGGAGUUUCCCUUGUGUUCUGUCUAAUAUUUAGCCCUCAAUCAACAGUACAAAAGCAAAGACAUUAUUGGAGAUUUGUUUGUAGCACCCUCCUGUACGCAAUUUGGCUGCUGCAUUACAGAAGUGACCAUGUUUUGCUCUUACAAGUCAUUCAGCUAGGGCUGCUGCCUCAUGGCUCCAGAUACCCCAAGUUUGAAUCUCAUCACGUGUGCUGCCUCUGUGGAGGGUGCAUGUCCUCCCUGUGAACAGGUGACUGACUCAUCCUUGGAUAGAAUAGCAAGCAUGUGGGAUAUCCUUCUGCUACCUCUCCCACAGCGGUCUUCUUCCACGCUGCGCUUAGUCAGUGAGCACUGACAUUCAGAGAAUCGGUUUACAUGACCUUCCUGAGGUCAGAUACCUGAUGUAAUUGAAACAGAAAUGGAAUUUCCUGAAACUGGAGAGAAAAAUUACGUACAGACAUUAACAGACAACCAUCAAGCAGAAUAA